ensembl:miRNA
CCUCUCCAUGGUACGCGGGGAGAGGUUACCCGAGCAACUUUGCAUCUGGACGACGAAUGUUGCUCGGUGAACCCCUUUUCGGUAUCAAAAUCCAUCAGAGAGGCCAUCUGGGAG